AUCACAACAACAACAAACAAAAAGAAGAAAUGAGUACUAAAGCUAUUGUGUUCUUCAUUGUUCUAAGUUUUCUAUUAGUUAUACAAAUUUCCAAUGGAGAGAAGUUCACAAGUGCUAAGAUAAUUAAAACGAAUGGAGGAGAGGGUUCACUUCGCCCGGAACAAUGCCAAGGGGCGUGUCAGGUGAGGUGCUCGGAGACGUCGCACAAGAAGCCAUGCAUGUUCUACUGCAACUACUGUUGCGAGAGAUGUCUCUGCGUUCCUUCUGGUGCGUACGGACACAAGGAGGAGUGCCCUUGCUACGACAGCA